AAAAGACUGUAUGCAGCAUGUAAUGAGCAGAAAUUGGAGCGUGUUGCUGGACAUUCGUAGGAAAACGCACAAAAAAUGAGGAAUAACUUUUCGUGAGUCAUCAUACGUAUGAGGACACGUUGCAUAUAAAAACAUCAUAACUCCAGUUUGGGUUUUUUUAUGUCUUAAAUGACGCUCUCAAGACCCCAUUUGUUGAACUGAAAAAGUAAGUAGCAAGUAAACACCAGGCUGAAUAUCUCACACAUUCUUUGUCAGUUGCUACAGAGUGGAGUUUGUUAAGUAUUAAAUGACCUAUAGUGCGUGAUGUGUGUGUGUGAUCGUGUGUGGAGCCCAAUCUGGUGUUUAGAUCUCACGGCUGGAGGUGUCAUGGCCCUCCACACUCCCAUCCACACUCACUCACGCACACACAGCAGCAGAGCAGGAAGUGUUGGAGCUCCGUGACGCAAGAAUGUGAUGUCACUUAAGCCCCUGUCCCACAAAGCCAUGAGUCUGUGUCAGUGUAGGAAAAAGGGGUUAUAGACCUCUGGUAGCUACUCUGUUUCUCUCUCUCUCUCUCUCUCUCUCUCUCUCUCUCUCUCUCUCUCUCUCUCUCUCAAUCUGUCUAUCCUGUCUAACAAAACACGUUGAAUUUAUUCAUGUUUAAUCUAUGGGGACUGACUUGCUUUUGGAGCCAGAGUCAAGUGGCCAUUUGAAAAACUGCUGUUUUGGGCACUUUUUUGGCACGUUUGGCUUCAUUUCUCAGCACCGGAGGUUGCCGCAUGGGCAGGCCUUAUCACCGAAAACAACAGUGUUGGACCUCACUAAUGCUCUUGUGUCUGAAUGGGAGCAGAUCCCUUCAGCCAGGUUCUAAAUCCUGUGGAAAGCUUUAGACGGGAAGAGAGGAGGUUGUUACAGCAGCAUAUUAACGCCCAUGGUUUUGGAAAGGCAUGCUCAACAAUCACAUAUGGGUGUUAUGUUCGGGUGUCCACAGACUGUCUCUUCUGUGAAAUGUGAUCAAAAUUGUAUAAGAAUUCAGUGAGCUAAGAUCUUCCCAAUGCAACACAAUGUGAUGUAAUCAAACUGAUGUGAACUGACUAGUCAAUAUCUGCUUUUAAUAAAAGCUUCUUCACUGGCUAUAUGAUGACUCUGCACACACACAGAAAAACCAGCCUCUGUACAUCAAAGUGUAGUCCAAUACAAUAUAAACAAACAGCUCAACAAAACACAUUUUAAGCUUGAUAGAGGCAUCAGAUAGUAUUUACUGCAGGGUUAUUGUAACAUAUUAAAUCUAUCUCCUUCCUCUCAGCCAGUCAAUUUACCGACUGCAUCCUCAAGCCUUCAGAUAUUAGGGCUUAAUUUUUGUUUAGUUUAUUUAUUUUUGAGAAUACACAAACAUAACAAACAUAACAAAUAAUACCCAGUGCAGGAAGAGGCAGAAAACCCACUGGGCUUAUCUGGAGAAUCCAGCUAAAUAAUGUUAAUAUAUCACAAUGUUAUAGAGAAUACAACAUUAAUAUACAGAAAAUAAUAUUACUACAUAAUAGUGAUAAACAAUUAUAAAAAUAUAUGUAUAAUAACA